GGGGAAUAUUGCACAAUGGGGGAAACCCUGAUGCAGCGACGCCGCGUGGAGGAAGAAGGUCUUCGGAUUGUAAACUCCUGUUGUUGGGGAAGAUAAUGACGGUACCCAACAAGGAAGUGACGGCUAACUACGUGCCAGCAGCCGCGGUAAAACGUAGGUCACAAGCGUUGUCCGGAAUUACUGGGUGUAAAGGGAGCGCAGGCGGGAAGACAAGUUGGAAGUGAAAUCUAUGGGCUCAACCCAUAAACUGCUUUCAAAACUGUUUUUCUUGAGUAGUGCAGAGGUAGGCGGAAUUCCCGGUGUAGCGGUGGAAUGCGUAGAUAUCGGGAGGAACACCAGUGGCGAAGGCGGCCUACUGGGCACCAACUGACGCUGAGGCUCGAAAGUGUGGGUAGCAAACAGGAUUAGAUACCCUGGUAGUCCACACCGUAAACGAUGAUUACUAGGUGUUGGAGGAUUGACCCCUUCAGUGCCGCAGUUAACACAAUAAGUAAUCCACCUGGGGAGUACGACCGCAAGGUUGAAACUCAAAGGAAUUGACGGGGGCCCGCACAAGCAGUGGAGUAUGUGGUUUAAUUCGACGCAACGCGAAGAACCUUACCAAGUCUUGACAUCCCUUGACGAUNCUGGAAACAGUAUUUCUCUUCGGAGCAAGGAGACAGGUGGUGCAUGGUUGUCGUCAGCUCGUGUCGUGAGAUGUUGGGUUAAGUCCCGCAACGAGCGCAACCCUUAUGGUCAGUUACUACGCAAGAGGACUCUGGCCAGACUGCCGUUGACAAAACGGAGGAAGGUGGGG
rnacentral:rRNA from 1 species